UACGUAGGGUGCAAGCGUUGUCCGGAAUUAUUGGGCGUAAAGAGCGUGUAGGCGGCCCGAUUAGUCCGACUGUGGAAAGUCCAGGGCCUCAACCCUGGAAUGCCGGUGGAUACUGUCGGGCUAGAGUCCGGAAAGGGGCGAGUGGAAUUCCUGGUGAUAGCGGUGAAAUGACGCAGAUAUCAGGAGGAACACCAAUGGCGAAGGCAGCUCGCUGGGACGUGACUGACGCUGAGACGCGAAAGCGUGGGGAGCAAACAGG
rnacentral:rRNA from 1 species